GACGAACGCUGGCGGCGUGCUUAACACAUGCAAGUCGAACGGUAAGGCCCUUCGGGUACGACGAGUGGCGAACGGGUGAGUAACACGUGGGUGAUCUGCCUGCACUUCGGGAUAAGCCUGGGAAACUGGGUCUAAUACCGGAUAGGACCAUGGACUUCACGGUUUGUGGUGGAAAGCUUUUGCGGUGUGGGAUGGGCCCGCGGCCUAAUCAGCUUGUUGGUGGGGUAAUGGCCUACCAAGGCGACGACGGGUAGCCGGCCUGAGAGGGUGUCCGGCCACACUGGGACUGAGAUACGGCCCAGACUCCUACGGGAGGCAGCAGUGGGGAAUAUUGCACAAUGGGCGCAAGCCUGAUGCAGCGACGCCGCGUGAGGGAUGACGGCCUCGGUU
rnacentral:rRNA from 1 species